ACUUAAAGCUACGAAAAUAGGAAACCUAGGGUACUAAUUACUAGUCGAAUCAGAUUGCAGCUGGACACCAUUUACAAAUCGUCCUUUCAUUUCCAAUACACCCAUCUGCUGCAUUUGAUAGCUUUUCAGUUUCUUCCAUAGUAUGCUAUCCAUUCUUUUUCAUCUUUCACAAAAAGCCAUUCUCAAUUUGGGAGCCUACUCUAUCUUCCCUCCGAGCGCACAUAAAGGCGGUGUAAUACCUCUCCUUCCAGGUGUGUUUUUUCUCCCCUUCUUAGCGCUUCUUCUGCAAUUUUGUGAGCCAAGACGUUCUCAGUUCUAUUGAUAAAUUGGAAUCUGAUUUCUUGAAAAAACUCUUGACUUUUUUUGAAUAUCACUGAUUAUUGCUCCUAUAACUGACUUAUCUUGCAUUGAUGUUUGACAUUUCUUUAUGACGGUUCGUGAGUCCCCCUUUACCGUAACUGAGUGUAUACCCAUGGAAAGUCCAAGAUUAAUCGCAUGAAGACCUGCAUAAGCUUCUGUUGCAAAAGAAGUUGAAAUAUUUGAAUUUAAGACCGUUUUCGUAGCAAGGAUUACUCCCAUAUGAUCUAGAACCACCAGGCCUGCCAUCGAUUUGAAAUCCCUUCGAUUAAAGGCAGCAUCAAAGUGAAUCGUCAUCCCAAAACUCGUUUUGCUUUGAAUGGCCCUCGUAGCUGUAUACAAGGUACUCUUUUUUUCUGUUAGACCAUCAAUCUUGGCCACAUACCUUUGAACUUUUGAUGCUAUCUCUCUUCCUGACACAAAUUUUCUUUCAUGCAUGAGCUUGUUUCUUGACCCCUACAGGACCCAUAUGCCACAGCAAAUCAAUCGACCUUGUUUGGGAGUGCUCUUUUGGAAAAUCCAAACAAUACAGAAAGACAUGAGAUAUAUCUUCCUCCCCAGAUCUACAUCGAUGACAAGCAGCAGUGUCGGCUAUUUGUUUAGAUCGCAAAUUAACUAGAGUAGGCAUAUAGUUCUAUGAUGCUCUCCAAACUAUAAUAGUAAUCUUUGAGGGGAGCUGUAAAUUCCAGAGCUUUUUGUAGAAAUUUUUUAAAUCGGUUUGUAAUAAUCAGUCGUUAGGAUUCGAGCUAGUGAUUUGUAAUAGUUUGUAAGCACUUCUGACCGAAAACUCACCAGAAAGCUCACCCUUCCACACCUGAAAAUCAACUCCUGGGAGUUCCGCCAGAGGAAUUUGCAAAAUCUUUUGGGCAGUGUCUACUGGGAAGUUCCCCAUCCAACUCUCUAACUCUCCAACUCAGCACACUUCGUAACAAUCCUUUUGUAGCCCAGACACUCUUCUAGGUAAGAGAUGGUGAGUUUCCCAACUGUGCAUUAAAAAAGUCUGAACUUGGAUAAUACUUAGCUUUAAGAACUUUUGCCAGUAAGGAAUUUGGAUAAUUAAUGAGUCGCCACCCUUGUUUAGCUAACAUAGCGAUAUUAAACUGACUAAUAUUUUGAAAUCCAAUACCUCCAUUUUCCUUCAAAGUACAAAGGUUCCUCCACGCACACCAGUGUAUACCCCUUCUUCCAUGGCCCUUCUGCUACCAAAACUUGGCAAUAAUAUUCUCAAUCUCACUGCACAAUGUCUUAGGUAAAAGGAAACAGGCCUUUGAGUAAAUUGGGAUGGCUAGGAGUAUGGACUUAAUAAAUAUUUCUUUCCCUCCUUGUGAUAAAUGUCUCGUACUUCAUUGAUCAAUGCGCUGCUUAAUUCGAUCCUUUAAAAUUUGAAACGACUCCCUUUUCUUUCUGCCUACCAUGUUAGGUAAUCCUAGGUAACACUCUGGGUCACUCGAGCUUCGUACUCCCAAUAUAUUACCCCACCACUCUUCUAUCAACAUCAGGUGUAUUCUUGCUAAAAAAGACUACUGAUUUGUCAAAAUUAGCGCAUUGCUCUGAACACAUUCUGUACUUUCUAAGGAUUUUUUUUAAGAUAUUAGCUCCUCUACUCGUUACUUCACUAAAUAAAAUGCAGUUAUCAGCGAAGAGUAAGUGUGACACCUGCGGUCCACUCCUUAGCUUUUACACCUUUCAACAACCCUUCACGCAUUGCACGAUUUAUUAGACAAGAUAAGCCUUCCCCACAUAUAAGUAACAUAAAAGGGUUGAGUGGAUCCCUUUGGCGCAGCCCCUUCAUCGGUUGAAAAUUUUCCCCUUCAAAUCCAUUAACUAUUACCGAAUAUGUAACAGAAUUUAUGCACUUCAUAAUAGUCUCAAUCCAGUUUGAGGCAAAGCCUAUACGAAUCAUUAUUUCUUCAAUAAAUUUCCACUCAACUCGACCUUAUGCUUUACUCAUAUCAAGUUUCACUACCAUAAAACCUUUCUACCCCACUCGCUUCUGUUUCAUGUUUCAAUGUGUGAAGAAUUUCAUAAGCAAAUGGAAUAUUAUCUAAGAUCAAUCUCUCUGGUACAAAAGCACUUUGUGCCACAUCAAUACAUUUCCCAAUAACCCCUCUAAGCCUAUUGGCAAUAGCUUUCGCCAUGAUUUUAUAAAUCACAUUACAUAGGCUAAUUGGUCUAAACUACAUCAUGUUCACGGGGUCAGCAACUUUUGGAAUAAGCACAAUGUGUAUAGAAUUUACCUAUUCAAAAUCCUUAUCCUUAUUUAGAGUUUGUAAGCAGAAUUUGGUGACAUCUUCUCCCAUAAUAUGCCAACACUUUUGAUAAAAUAAUGUCGAUAAUCCAUCUUCCCCUGGGGCUUUAAUGGGUCCCAUCUCAAACUCUGCGACUUUAAUCUCGUCCUUUGUGUAGGAUGCGUUAGCAAUUGAUUAUCCUCCUCAGAUAUACACCUGCCAACUUUUAGUAAAAAUUGAUCAUGAUUUCCCCUUCCUUCUGAUGUAAAUAACCUUUAAAAGUAAGCCCGUGCAAUGCCUUCUAUUUCUGGGAUAAUCUCUGUUUCCUUUCCCUACCAAUCCUUCAUUUUGUGAAUCAAAUUUCUCCUUCUCCGAUGUGUGGCUUGACUAUGAAAGAAAGUAGUAUUCCUAUCACCAUACUUUAGCCAAUUUAUGCGUGCUCUCUGUUCCUAGUAACGUUCGUCAUUGUCUAUUUCAAGAUUCAGUUGAACUCUUGUGUUGAUCAACUCUGCCAUAUUAGAAUCAUCUCUCUCAUCUGUUAAAAAUUCUGUUAAUCUGUCUGUAAGAAUUGACUUACGCUGUUUUCGUUUAGCUUGGAUCCGAAUAGCCCAUUUCGUCAAACCAUGCUUAAGCAAGUCUAAUUUCUACAACAAGUUACUCGAAGAUGACCUCCAAAAACUUUUGACUUCUUCCUCGAACGACUCCUCUAUUGUCCACCAAGCUUUAAACCUAAAAGCUUUCUUCUUUGACCCUUGUUCUACCUUGGUUGUAUUUAUCAAUAGGGGGCAAUAAUCAGAGAAUGAAUGAGUGAGGUGUUUGAUAUUACCUCAGAAAACAUGGCCAUCCAUUCCUCAUUUGCAACGCCCUUAUCAAGUCUUUCGGGUAUAUUUGUCUCCGGUAAAUUACCCCUCUCCCAAGUAAACUAUCUACCUCAAAAUCUUACAUCCAUUAGGUUGCAAUCACUUAAGACAUUACAGAAUAACUUCAUUCUUCUUUCAUCUCUCGGUAGCCCUCCUUUUUUUUCAAAACCUUACAUUAUUUUAUUAAAGUCCCCGCAAACAGACCACGGAAAUCUCUCCCCAUUGAAUAAAAUUUUUAACGCAUCCCAGAAAUUAUUUCGAUCAUGUACAUAUGGGGACCCAUAAAAUCCAGUAACCCUCCAUUGACCUCUUACAUCAGAGUCAUUUAUUACCACAUCAAUAAACCUUUUCGAGUAUUGUCGAAGUGUAACACACCUCCGCUUUCCAUGCCAAACAUAAUCCACCUCUAAUGCCAUCCGAGUCAACUUUAAUCCCAUGAACAUACCCACACCUAUUAUGAAUCCUCUUCAUUUGACUUUUACAUAUUUUUGUCUCCAUGAAGAAGACCAUUUGGGAAUUUUGUAACUUUAGCAUAUAUCGAGGUCUUCGAACUGUUCGUGGGUUCCCUAAUCCACGAACAUUCCAACUUAACAGUUUCAUUGCGCCCAGUCGGCUUGCUUCUUGGCAGCUAUCGAUACAAAUUGAUUUCUUUCCAACAAUCUCCUAUUUCUACCCAUCGAAGAGUUUUCCUUUCUCAAUACUAACGCACCCUCUAUCUCCUCUCUAGCCUGCUUCUUCCUUUCUUCGCCAAUCAGAGCACCUUUUUCUAGGUCGUGCUCCAUCAGUUAAAUCUGGAACUGACAAUGAGUUACUCCCCAUGUGAUUUCCUAGUAUUCUCCGACCUUCCAGGUUGAACCCCAAGACUUGGUCAAAAGAUUGUCCGAAACCCGCUUUUGUAUUUGUACCAGUCUGAAAAAUACUCCAUUUUCUAACUGUGUUUCCCCCGUUGUAAUUCAUUUUCCCAUCCCUUUCGUCUCUCAACCACACUGUUCAUUGCUACAACCCUCCAUGAUUGCGCUCGUAUGGACAAAUCCCAACCCAGCUACUUCCACCUCUAGCAUCAUCUUUGCUUCACAAAAUUAAUCAUUAUGCCCUAGCCGAUCGCAAUAAAAGCAAAAAAAGGAAAGUCGCUCAUACUUGAAAUUUACAUAGGUACAAUUCUCGCUAAACAAAAUUGGUUUCCUCCUUUUUAACGGGUGUCGCACAUCAAUCUGUAUUCGUACUCGCAAAUAAUUUAUACUUCCCUUUCCCAAAUUUGAUCCAUCAUACUCUAUAAAUUCUCUGAUAAAAUUUCCCAGUUGGGCUGCCAAAUUUUUCAAAAAAAGUCCAAAGGGGACGUCAUGAAUCUGAACCCAAAACGGUGCCAUGACAAGUGGAAUUUUUAGAGAAUCUUCUCCCUAUUGUAAUUUAUGUAAAACUAGCAAAUGAUUAUUAAAAGCCUAUGGAUAUCCCUUCAACACUCUAUCCAAAUCCAUGAUAUGAUAGAAUUGAAACAAAAAUCUCUUUUCACCCAAAUCCUGAAAUGAACACCCCUAACAGGAUGCCAAAGAUUUGCCAUUAUACUUUUCAUUGCAGGAAAAUAAAUAACAUUAGCAGUUAAAAAACAUCCUACUAACCUGAAGAUCUCCUCUCUUCUUUCUAUAUUCGGUUCACUUUGGACCUGUAGGAUGGCAUCUUCUUCUUCGUUAAGUGAUAGCCCUGCUAAUUUGUUUUCCAUUGAUUACAGGUGUAAAUCCUGAUUGAAACAAAACACUAUACAGAAAGAAACCCUAUAAUCUGGAUUUAAGCCGUCGCCCCUCCACUCACAAACAAAAACCAAAACCCAAGAAAAGAAAAGUGCCAGGGAUGGCAGACUAGAAAAAAUAGAAAAUAUUUUUAAAAACUAAUGGAGUAGGCUUUGUUUUGGUAUUUGAAAAUAUUUUCUAUAUUAUUUUUAUUUUAUUUUCAAAAAGAAAAGUUUUCUCUUUUAAAAACAUGUUUGGUAAAUUUAGAAAUCAAAAAUUAUUUUCAAUAAUAAAAGCAUGAAACAUGUUUGGCAUCUAUUUUCUAAAACAUGAAUGUGAGAAAUAAAAUUAAAAAAUGACAUUUAUAUAAAUUUAAAUGAGAGAAUGAGAUUUAAUAUAUAUAAAAAACUAUUUAGAAAAAGAGGAGAAUAUUUUUAUAUUUAUAUGGAUUUGAACUAGAGCCAAUUCAUUUCAAGAUGAAAACAUUGUUUUUGUUAUUUUCAGUUUUGCAAAACAUUUUUAGGGAAAACAAUAGAAACAAUUGUUUUAUAAUUUUCACAUAUUUUAAUUUUUAUUUUCAAAAUUUAUUUUUAAAAUUUUCAACUAAACACAUGUUCUUGAAUUUUUGCAUUUUUUCAAUAAAACGAAAAUGAAAGUGGCAUCCGUAUCUUGAAACCAAACCAACCUUAGCUUCUUACAUUCUUCUUUUUCUUCAGUUGUUCACCACAUUUCAUUCUUCAAAUGUCGCAAUCAUUAAAUCCUAGUAUCACACAAUCGUUCAUUUAUAGUUUUAGCGUUUCGUAUUCUAAUACAAGCCUUCUUUUACCUUCAAGUCAUUGAUGUCACAAAAAAUUGAAUAAGGUAAUUUUUGAAACCAUGAAUUCUUAUAUUGGCUUAUUUUUUGCUUUAUUAAAUUAUAAUUUAAAAUGAGAACUUGUUUAUCUUCUUUUUCUUUAGUCGUUCACUAUAUUUCAUUCUUCAGAUGUCGCAAUCGUUAAAUCCUAGUAUCCCAUAGUUGUUCACCUAUGUUUCUAACGUUUCUUAUUCCAACAUAAACCUUCUCUUUCCUUGAAGUUAUCGAUGUUACAAAAAUUUGAAUAAGGUAAUUUUUGAAUCCAUAAAUUCUUAUAUUGACUUAUGUUUUGCUUUAUUAAAUUAUAAUUCAAAAUGCAAACUUGUUUAUCUUUUGCUUAUAUAUUUUCAUUAGAUUCCUUACCUUUUUAAAGAUAAACAAACAUUUAUUUUCAUUUUUUGAACCUAAUACAUGCAAACCCUAGUAUCUUAUAAGGUGUGUUGUCACCCUUUAUACUCCUACUUAUAAUAGUUGUUUUUUAUUAAAAUAUUAUUAUUUAAUUAUAUCAUAUUUAAGCGGAAGUCUUGUACCGAUUCUCUAUAAAUAGGAACUAUGUAUUGAACUAUUUACACACAUUAUUUAUGUCACCAUUUUGUCAAAAAUAGUGGUAAUUUAUUUUAUAGAAUAAAGUCUCUUUUUUGAGAAAAA